GGGAAUGUAGCUCAGUGAUAGGGCACUCGCCUAGUAUGUGUGAAGCUCUGGGUUUGAUCCCCAGCACUGCAA
rfam:Ictidomys tridecemlineatus contig074947, whole genome shotgun sequence.